AACGAACGCUGGCGGCAGGCUUAACACAUGCAAGUCGAACGGUAACGCGGGGCAACCUGGCGACGAGUGGCGAACGGGUGAGUAAUGCAUCGGAACGUGCCCGGUAGUGGGGGAUAACUGCUCGAAAGAGCAGCUAAUACCGCAUACGACCUGAGGGUGAAAGGGGGGGAUCGCAAGACCUCUCGCUAUCGGAGCGGCCGAUGUCGGAUUAGCUAGUUGGUGGGGUAAAGGCCUACCAAGGCAACGAUCCGUAGCUGGUCUGAGAGGACGACCAGCCACACUGGGACUGAGACACGGCCCAGACUCCUACGGGAGGCAGCAGUGGGGAAUUUUGGACAAUGGACGCAAGUCUGAUCCAGCCAUGCCGCGUGCGGGAAGAAGGCCUUCGGGUUGUAAACCGCUUUUGUCAGGGAAGAAAUCUUCUGGGUUAAUACCUCGGGAGGAUGACGGUACCUGAAGAAUAAGCACCGGCUAACUACGUGCCAGCAGCCGCAGUAACAC
rnacentral:rRNA from 1 species